rfam:Rhodoferax antarcticus ANT.BR grfa_new.contig.10_1, whole genome shotgun sequence.
GGUCAAGUGAAUAAGAGCAUGUGGUGGAUGCCUUGGCAAUGAUAGGCGACGAAGGACGUGAUAGCCUGCGAUAAGCUUCGGGGAGCUGGCAAAUUAGCUUUGAUCCGGAGAUUUCCGAAUGGGGAAACCCACCUGCAAAGGUAUCGCAUGAUGAAUACAUAGUCAUGCGAGGCGAACCGGGUGAACUGAAACAUCUCAGUAGCUCGAGGAAAAGACAUCAACCGAGAUUCCGAAAGUAGUGGCGAGCGAAAUCGGAGAAGCCUGCAAGUGAUAGCAUAACUCUUAGCAAAACAGUCUGGAAAGUCUGGCCAUAGCAGGUGAUAGCCCUGUAUGCGAAAAGAGAUGUGUGAUACUGAGCUUGCGACAAGUAGGGCGGGACACGUGUAAUCCUGUCUGAAUAUGGGGGGACCAUCCUCCAAGGCUAAAUACUCAUCAUUGACCGAUAGUGAACUAGUACCGUGAGGGAAAGGCGAAAAGAACCCCGGGAGGGGAGUGAAAUAGAUCCUGAAACCGCAUGCUUACAAAAAGUAGGAGCCCGCAAGGGUGACUGCGUACCUUUUGUAUAAUGGGUCAGCGACUUACAUUCAGUGGCAAGGUUAACCGAAUAGGGAAGCCGUAGAGAAAUCGAGUCCGAAUAGGGCGUUAACUGGAAGGAAACUUCUAGUUUCGAGUCGCUGGGUGUAGACCCGAAACCAAGUGAUCUAUCCAUGGCCAG